CUCGAGGUCUAUCCCGACAGACUCUCUACAGUAGGGCCUAGUCGUUGGAAAUGCCUCGUAGAAUGAACCUGUGGUUUCGCUUUACCCUCAGGACUAGUGCCGUUAGACCUGUGGGAUAAAACUGCAGAACAAGA